CGUGUAGGCGGCUUGGUAAGUCAGAUGUGAAAGCCCUGGGCUCAACCCAGGAAGUGCAUUUGAAACUACCAGACUUGAGUACGGGAGAGGAGGGGGGAAUUCCCGGUGUAGAGGUGAAAUUCGUAGAUAUCGGGAGGAAUACCGGUGGCGAAAGGCGCCCCUCUGGACCGAUACUGACGCUGAGACGCGAAAGCGUGGGGAGCAAACA
rnacentral:rRNA from 1 species